UUCCUCAGGAUCGAUCUCAAAAAGAUCUUCUCUAAGAUGUAAUAGGUUUGGUACCAUAACAAUGUUGAAAGAGAAGAGUAUGUUCAAACAUUCAGCAAAAUCCUUCAAUCCCUAGCCGCACAUCAUAUUGUGGUUCCCUCUAGCCGCAAAUCGUACUGCGGACAACACAAAACCUAAACCAUGCACCCCCAUAAACCAACCGCAGAUCCACCUGCGGUUGCCAACAUUCGCAGAUCCAACUGUGGCGCCACCAUAUCCGCACUUCGUAGUGUGGCGGCCGUUAACCGCACAUCUUCCCUACUUCCAACCCAACACAAAACAAGCAGCGAAAAUCAAAUCCAACACAGAACAAGCAGUGAAGAAAACGAAGAGGAGAAAUAAGAAAUAAGAAGAGGAAGACCACUCAGAAGGAGAAGGGAAGGACAACAGAGAGGAGAAAGAAGAAAUAGAAGAGGGGCUCUAGGGUUUCAAGUGAGAUGCAAUAGAGAAGAGAAACAAAAAAGACUUAUGAUUGGGUCAACAUUUUUAAAAAAUCAAAAUAUGCUCUCUAGCCAUUCACAAAGCUAGAUUUAAGAGUACAAUUGGAAUUAAAAAAAAUUUAGGAGGUGCAGAAAACUAUUUUCUAAGACCAAGCACUUUAUUAUGGCUCAUUCUCCACAAAAAUGAAAAGAAAACCCUAAGAAACGAAAGAUUCAUAUUCAAAAACAAACACCACCAAAGAAUAAAAUAAAGUUGGAAAACUUAGAAAAGAUUGCAUUGAAAAUUUUAGGUAAAAG
rnacentral:lncRNA from 1 species